rnacentral:rRNA from 1 species
UACGUAGGGUCCGAGCGUUGUCCGGAAUUACUGGGCGUAAAGAGUGUGUAGGCGGUGUUCCAAGUUCGGUGUGAAAUCUCCCGCUUAACUGGGAGGGUGCGCCGAAAACUGGAAUGCUCGAGCGUGGGAGAGGAAAGCGGAAUUCCUGGUGUAGCGGUGAAAUGCGUAGAUAUCAGGAGGAACACCAGCGGUGUAGACGGCUUUCUGGACCAUUGCUGACGCUGAGACACGAAAGCGUGGGUAGCAAACAGG